rnacentral:rRNA from 1 species
GUGGGGAAUUUUGGACAAUGGGCGCAAGCCUGAUCCAGCAAUGCCGCGUGCAGGAAGAAGGCCUUCGGGUUGUAAACUGCUUUUGUACGGAACGAAACGGUCCGGGUUAAUACCCUGGGCUAAUGACGGUACCGUAAGAAUAAGCACCGGCUAACUACGUGCCAGCAGCCGCGGUAAUACGUAGGGUGCAAGCGUUAAUCGGAAUUACUGGGCGUAAAGCGUGCGCAGGCGGUUUUGUAAGUUGGAAGUGAAAUCCCCGGGCUCAACCUGGGAACUGCAUUUGUGACUGCAUAGCUAGAGUACGGCAGAGGGGGAUGGAAUUCCGCGUGUAGCAGUGAAAUGCGUAGAUAUGCGGAGGAACACCGAUGGCGAAGGCAAUCCCCUGGGCCUGUACUGACGCUCAUGCACGAAAGCGUGGGGAGCAAACAGGAUUAGAUACCCGGGUAGUCC